rnacentral:rRNA from 1 species
GGUUGAUUUUCGUAAANGGGGGUAGAAUUCCCAGGUGAANCGGGUAAAAUGGNAAAAGAUCUGGAAGGAAAACCCGGUGCGAAGGCGGCCCCCUUGGACGAAGACUAACGNUCAGGUGCGAAAGCGUGGGNANCAACAGGAUUAGAUACCCUGGUAGUCCCACGCCGUAAACGAUGUCGACUUGGAGGUUGUUCCCUUGAGGAGUGGCUUCCGGAGUAACGCGUUAAGUCGGACNGCCUGGGGAGUACGGCCGCAAGGUUAAAACUCAAAUGAAUUGACGGGGGCCCGCACAAGCGGUGGAGCAUGUGGUUUAAUUCGAUGCAACGCGAAGAACCUUACCUACUCUUGACAUCCAGNGAAUUUNGCAGAGAUGCUUUNGUGCCUUCGGGAACUGUGAGACAGGUGCUGCAUGGCUGUCGUCAGCUCGUGUUGUGAAAUGUUGGGUUAAGUCCCGCAACGAGCGCAACCCUUAUCCUUUGUUGCCAGCGAUUCGGUCGGGAACUCAAAGGAGACUGCCGGUGAUAAACCGGAGGAAGGUGGGGAUGACGUCAAGUCAUCAUGGCCCUUACGAGUAGGGCUACACACGUGGNACAAUGGCGCAUACAAAGAGAAGCGACCUCGCGAGAGCAAGCGGACCUCAUAAAGUGCGUCGUAGUCCGGAUCGGAGUCUGCAACUCGACUCCGUGAAGUCGGAAUCGCUAGAAAUCG